GACGAACGCUGGCGGCGUGCUUAACACAUGCAAGUCGAACGCUGAAGCUCAGCUUGCUGGGUGGAUGAGUGGCGAACGGGUGAGUAACACGUGAGUAACCUGCCCUCUUCUUUGGGAUAACGCCCGGAAACGGGUGCUAAUACUGGAUAUUCACUGAUUCUCGCAUGGGGGUUGGUGGAAAGGUUUUUUCUGGUGGGGGAUGGGCUCGCGGCCUAUCAGCUUGUUGGUGGGGUGAUGGCCUACCAAGGCUUUGACGGGUAGCCGGCCUGAGAGGGUGACCGGUCACAUUGGGACGGAGAUACGGCCCAGACUGCUACGGGAGGCAGCAGUGGGGAAUAGUGCACAAUGGGCGAAAGCCUGAUGCAGCGACGCCGCGUGAGGGAUGGAGGCCUGCGGGUUGGAAACCUCUUUCUCUCAUGGUCAAGCCGCAGCGUGGGGUUGUGGUGAGGGUAGUGGGUAAAGAAGCGCCGGCUAACUACGUG
rnacentral:rRNA from 1 species